rnacentral:tRNA from 1 species
GGAAUUGUGGCUCAGAGGUAGAGCGUUCCUCUAACACGGGCAAGGCCCUGGGUUCAAUCCUCAGCACCA